GACGAACGCUGGCGGCGUGCCUAAUACAUGCAAGUAGAACGAGUUGCGAACGGGUGAGUAACGCGUGGUAACCUGCCUCAUAGCGGGGGAUAACUACUGGAAACGGUAGCUAAUACCGCAUACCAUCAGAUGUGCCCAGAUGGGAUUAGCUUGUUGGUGGGGUAACGGCUCACCAAGGCGACGAUCCCUAGCUGGUCUGAGAGGAUGACCAGCCAAACUGGAACUGAGACACGGGCCAGACUCCGACGGGAGGCAGGAGGGGGGAAUAUUGCACAAUGGGCGCAAGCCUGAUGCAGCCAUGCCGCGUGUAUGAAGAAGGCCUUCGGGUUGUAAAGUACUUUCAGCGGGGAGGCGUUACCCGCAGAAGAAGCACCGGCUAACUCCGUGCCAGCAGCCGCGGUAAUU
rnacentral:rRNA from 1 species